ACAAGUCUUGCAAAAGUGCCCUCGGCCGGGCGCGGGUGUCCCGCGUCGCCUCAGUUCGCCCGCUACCACACACGCCUCCGGCUCACCACCCUGAGUUGCUUUCGGUUUCUGAGGAGCCGGGACGGUUAGCUCACCCGGACUUCGCCACUUGCGGGGCUCGCGGAGCUCCGCUGGCGCCCUACGGCGGCGGGCACUAGGCUGCUUCGCCUCAGCAGCGGGUCCACAGUAAUUGCAGCCUGUAUGAACGAAGUGAACUAGCAUCUCAAAUCUAACCUCUUCCAAGUCAGACAAACGCGGGAAAUACUUAGCUGUCUUGAGCAUCAAAUGUUCAUCACGGAGAGAAGAGAGUACUAGGGCCCUUGCAGUGGACACAGGCUACAGUGGAAAGCCUGCUCAUCAGGUGGCUCGUGUAAAGGAUGGCAAGCAGCAAUCCCCAGCAGAAAGCAAGCCUCUGAUUGUGGUGUGCAUAGAAGACUUGCUGGCUUACCAAGUGUGUUGCACCAACACCUUGUUUGUAAAGAAAAUUGCAACACAUCCCUCAGAUACAGCACCUAAGCCACAGAUACUGAACAUCUGGACAGAUGCUGGUGCUGAACAACUUGACUGACAUCUCCCACAGACUGUACUGCAGGUCUACUGACGAGAGACAAGACGAUGAAAGCUGUCACGGUAUAAUAUGCACGUACACAAGACAAGUGCUUUCAAAAAUGCUCUAGACAGUUUAAGAUACAUAACCGUCUUCCAUGGCUUUUAAAGUAAAAAUAAGUAUAAAUUCUCUAUUAUUAUUUUUAGAUCAGUUACAUUUUAUACGGGGCAUAAACUAUUAAGGUGAUCUGAUGAGAAAAAAAAAAAGGGCCUUUUCUGCAAGCCACUUUCAAUCACAUCAGAAUAGAGGGUCCUUUUGAAGGGAAAGCUGAAAAUUAAAAUUGACCAAUGGGCUGGAGAGCCCAUAAAGGGAUUAUUUUUUUCCAGUACUUAAGGAAACAUGACCCCUCUGAUGUGGGCAGCCUGCGGCCCUAGCAAGUGUCCCUCUACAGCAAGCCAUGCUUCCCAUAUGAAGUCAUUCUAUCAAAGCUGUCAGUAACACGCUGUUGAAACUCCGCCAUAGUAAAAUAUUCUUUGUGGGUGCUAAUGACUUUGCAUUGGAAUAAAAAGGCCUUAAGCCUCUGUUUCUUC
ensembl:antisense Gm26879 predicted gene, 26879